UACGUAGGGGGCAAGCGUUGUCCGGAUUUAUUGGGCGUAAAGAGCGUGUAGGCGGCUUUACAGGUCCGUUGUGAAAACUCGAGGCUCAACCUCGAGACGCCGGUGGAAACCGUAAAGCUAGAGUCCGGAAGAGGAGAGUGGAAUUCCCGGUGUAGUGGUGAAAUGCGUAGAUAUCGGGAGGAACACCAGUGGCGAAGGCGACUUUCUGGCCUGUUCUUGACGCUGAGGCGCGAAAGCUAGGGGAGCAAACGGG
rnacentral:rRNA from 1 species